rnacentral:lncRNA from 1 species
GGCUUGCUGGCUGCCCAAAAACUGUCUCUGUGCAGUGUGCAGCAGCAGAAGCUUCCCUCUAAACACUGUCAACAGGCACAUCCAGCCAAGGAAACCUAGUGGAAGCAGGACUGAAGGUAGACUGGUGGGGGAAAAAGUUUUUCUUCAAGGUUCCUGACUUUCAGUGAGUGUUACACAUCCAGGCUGUGCUUUGUGUAAUGCUGAAGCUUGUAUUGUUUAACUGAUUUGGGCAGCAAUUAAAUCCUCUGGACUUUUUUCUUUUUUCCCCAGGAUAACAGACACAGGUUUAACUAUCAGAACUGUCACAUUUCCAAGUUUAUAAUCUGCUAAAGUAGGGAUUAUUUUAUGCCUGAUGAGCUGCUCCUAGCAGCCUGCAGGCUCCAAGGCAUGCAGUACAACACACUGACUGACUGGCAAUGACUUUUCUUGGGCACUCUCAGCUCAACAAACACACACCAACUGAACUAGGUUAACGCUCAGUUAAAUAAACAAAAUUGAAAACAAACAACAAUGAACAAACAACAACAAAAACCCUCACACUAAAUUAACUUAAAUCAAUUUGUAAUUUCUGGGAGACAACAGCAAGCCAGAAGACAGCUAUAACAGAUUAGCUGAGGAGAGGAAAAAAAGUUCUAUGAAGUUUUCCAAACCUUGCAUAAUAAUUCGGCCAAGAUAACACCUUCCCAACUCCCAAGGGCUAGCAAUAGUGCUUUCCCUUCCUGGGAUGCUUCCCUUUGGAUGUUCCCAAAAGCAGGGAGCAAAGACCUGAAAAUGCCUAUUUUUGUCCAAAGCAAACCAGGUUGAAUGCAAAGGUACAAAGAUACAAAGGUACAAGUUUUUUUUUUUGUUUUUGUUUUUUUUUUUUAAAGGUUCUUAGAAAUCCAGAGCUGAGCUAAGAUCAGCUCAAAGACCUCUUCAAGGAGAGGAGCCACCAAGAGAGAGAUUGACAGGCCACAUCUUUUUGGCAGUCACUAUAGGAAAUUGCUGAGACCCAGCACCUCCAGGAGUCCCACACAGGAUCUAGACCUGAUCCUGAAACAGGCUCCUAUGCUUCCUGUGCCUGCAUUAACUGUCCAGCCACAUCAGGAAAAAAAAAAAAGCAAAUAACAAACAAGGAAAGCAAAAGAAGUCAGCCACCUAAGGGACACUGUCAGGCACAAAGCACCAGCUCUACAAUAUGCACCACACGUAACACUGAC